rnacentral:rRNA from 1 species
AUUGAACGCUGGCGGCAGGCCUAACACAUGCAAGUCGAGCGAGCGGCGGACGGGUGAGUAAUGCAUGGGGACUUCCCGAUAGAGGGGGAUAACUACUGGAAACGGUGGCUAAUACCGCAUACUGUCGGAUAACCCGUAGGGGCUUAGGUAGGAGGUAAGGUAAUGGCUUACCUAGGCGACGAACCCUAGCUGGACUGAGCGGCAGGUCAGCCACACUUGGACUGGGACACGGCCCAGACUCCAACGGGGGCCGGAGUGGGGAAUAUUGCACAAUGGGAGAAAGCCUGAUGCGGCCAUGCCGCGUGUAUGAAAAAGGCCUUAGGGUUGUAAAGUAUUUGCAGUCGGGAGACGUUACCGACAGAAGAAGCACCGGCUAACUCCGUGCCAGCAGCCGCGGUAAUUC